rnacentral:rRNA from 1 species
UACGUAGGGGGCAAGCGUUGUCCGGAAUCAUUGGGCGUAAAGAGCGUGUAGGCGGCCCGGUAAGUCCGCUGUGAAAGUCCAGGGCUCAACCCUGGGAUGCCGGUGGAUACUGUCGGGCUCGAGUCCGGAAGAGGAGUGUGGAAUUCCUGGUGUAGCGGUGAAAUGCGCAGAUAUUAGGAGGAACACCGGUGGCGAAGGCGGCUACCUGGACCGAUAUUGACGCUGAGACGCGAAAGCGUGGGUAGCAAACAGG